GAUGAACGCUGGCGGCGUGCCUAAUACAUGCAAGUCGAGCGAACGGACGAGAAGCUUGCUUCUCUGAUGUUAGCGGCGGACGGGUGAGUAACACGUGGAUAACCGACCUAUAAGACUGGGAUAACUUCGGGAAACCGUAUCUAAUACCGGAUAAUAUUUUGAACCGCAUGGUUCAUAAGUGAAAGACGGUCUUGCUGUCACUUAUAGAUGGAUCCGCGCUGCAUUAGCUAGUUGGUAAGGUAACGGCUUACCAAGGCAACGAUGCAUAGCCGACCUGAGAGGGUGGUCGGCCAAACGGGACCUGAGCAACGGCCAAGACUCCUACGGGAGGCAGCAGGAGGGAAUCUUCCGCAAUGGGCGAAAGCCUGACGGAGCAACGCCGCGUGAGUGAGGAAGGUCUUCGGAUCGUAAAACUCUGUUAUUAGGGAAGAACAUAUGUGUAAGUAACUGUGCACAUCUUGACGGUACCUAAUAAGAAAGCCACGGCUAACUACGU
rnacentral:rRNA from 1 species